rnacentral:rRNA from 1 species
GACGAACGCUGGCGGCGUGCUUAACACAUGUAAGUGGAGCGACGAACCAGGGCUUGCCCUGGGGCAGAGCCGCGAACGGGUGAGUAACACGUGGGUUACCUGCCCCGAUGACCGGGACAACCCGAGGAAACUCGAGCUAAUACCGGAUGUGGUCUUCGGACGAAAGGAAGCUUCGGCCUCCGCAUCGGGAUGGGCCCGCGGCGCAUUAGCUUGUUGGUGGGGUAACGGCCUACCAAGGCGACGAUGCGUAGCUGGUCUGAGAGGACGAUCAGCCACACUGGGACUGGGAAAGGGCCCAGACUCCUACGGGAGGCAGCAGGGGGGAAUCUUGCGCAGUGGGAGAAAGCCUGACGCAGCGACGCAGCGGGCGGGAAGAAGGCCUUCGGGUUGUAAACCGCUUUCAGGAGGGACGAAGCCACUCGGGUUAAUAGCCCAGAGGGUGACGGUACCUCCAGAAGAAGCCCCGGCUAACUACGUGCCAGCCGCCGCAGUAAGAC